rnacentral:rRNA from 1 species
AGGCUGCAACUCGCCUGCACGAAGUCGGAAUUGCUAGUAAUCGUAGGUCAGCAUACUACGGUGAAUACGUUCCCGGCCUUGUACACACCGCCCGUCAAACCAUGAGAGUUGGCAACACCGAAGUCGGUAGUCUAACCGCAAGGAGGACGCCGCCGAAGGUGGGGUUGAUGAUUAGGGUUAAGUCGUAACAAGGUACC